AAUCGAUGUCUCGAUUUUGAGAUUGAUGAUACUCCUUUAUGAAGCUUAUAAGUUUUCAUGUGUAUACCCGGCCGGUGAAUUUUGUAUCCGACACAUGAAAUAAGUAUAAGUCUAAAGGAAGUAAUCAAUAAAUUAAAUAGUUAGUAAUUUAAUUUGAUUGAUUAGUAUAUGAAUCUUAACAUUGUGCGUUAAAUAAGGUUUUAUGGAAGAAUUUCGAAACUGAACUAAGGAAUGCAAUUACGAAUAUUUAGAGGAAUAAUUCGUAAUUUAUUAUGAUGGAAAUUAAUUUCAGAAUUUCAAAAUUAAUGUCAUAAUAGGAAGCCUUGUUAAUUAAAUUCUGUGGCCCCUACUAUGCCUAAACAAUAGGAAAUAGUGAAAACUGUUACUUAGUGGGAAAGAAAACGUGGAAACCGUCCCUUAGUGGGAGAAGGAAACCUAACAGGUUUUGAAAACAGUUUUGACCUAAAAAUGCAGCUAUAUAUAUGGAUAUAAGGACUGGACGUUUUUUACACGAUUCGGACUGCAGUUUCUACUAGAAUUUUGUCCACCCAAAAUUCUCUAUUUUUGAUUAUUGUUUGGGUAACAAAUGAGAAGACUGUGGAAAUCUGCUGGUGCAUUUUCAACUGAGGAACUGAAGAACGACAUAGAGUUGUUGUGUUUACGCUUCAAGAGGUAAUCCUAAAAUCUCCAUACGUGCUAGUUGUUUAGAUUACACGUGACUAAGAUUCUGUUAUUGCUUCCGCCGUGGUAUAUAAUCCAUCAAUUGGUAUCAGAGCCUACUCAUGUCUAAUUAAAUAAUUAGGAUAAACCAUAAGGAUUAAUAUAAUAUUUUAUAUGCAAGUUUUGAAUUACGUGCAAAGUUUGUUUUUUUGAAAACCUGCACUAUUUUUGGUGCGAUUAUCUGUUAUGAGUUAUGUUGAUUAUUCUAAAAACUUUAUGUAUCUUUUUGAUAUUGGUGAUUUUGAGUUAGAAUCACCUGAAAGUUGAAUUUUAUCAUGUAAAACGGAAAAGCAAGUUUUGCCGAAUUAGGGCAGAAAAUCGGAGGUCAAAAAAGUUGACGGACUCCGAUUGACCUAAACUUGGCAGGUCCAUGCGAAACGGCCCAGUGAGCAAUACACACGGAUUUCAUCAUGAUUGAAGUCGUUUUUUGGGCUUUCGGGGUCGUUUAGAUGGCAUUUUUGUUGUUUUUCUAAAAUUCUGAAUUUUUUUAGAUAUUUUUAAUUCCAGUAAUUGUGGGGAUCAAUUCCCUUGGUCUCCGGGCUUAAAAAUCAGUGAUAUAAUAUUUUACAUGUUAACGUGGGUCUUUUUUCUAUAUCUGAUAAAAAUAUUAUGAACAAUCACUAUAUUAUACUAGUCAUUGAUUAUUUGUAUUUACUCUCCAUCUGAGUAUGCAUGUUGGUUCAAUGGAACUAAUAUAUGUUGAAUGUUGAUAUUCACUUUAUGAACAAUCACUAUAUUAUACUAGUCAUUGAUUAUUUGUAUUUACUCUCCAUCUGAGUAUGCAUGUUGGUUCAACGGGACUAAUAUAUGUUGAUUGUUGAUAUUCACUUGGAUUAAAUUAACAGUUUACUCUCCAUCUGAGCAUGACUUGUAUAAGUUUAUGGAGUGAAAAUCUAUCAUUAUAUAUGUGUAUUAAAAGAAUAGCUUCUUUCCCAUCGAAAUUUGUUGUUCAAGGUGCAUAGAUUGUAUAUAUAUAAUGCGUUUUAAAUUUUAAUGUUUAUAAUACAAACUUGUGACGACCCGACCCAUAGUUUUAUGUGUUAUUUCUCCGUUUCUCCCUUAUUGUGUUGCUUCAUGUUUCAAUAUCAGUAUUAGAGUCGAUCGGGUAUAAUUGAAUUGGUUUUAGUUGAAAAUAAGGCACAUGGCCUCUUAGAAGGAAGCUUGUUUUGGAAAAGUCAACCGGAAGUUGACUUGUGAGUUAGAAGGCUCAGAUGUGAUUUCGAUAAUUCAGUUUGCUUUGGGAGAUGAUUUUGUGACUUAGGAGAGCUAUCGGAAUUGAAUUUGGAGGUCCAGUGUAGAAUUAGGCUUGAAUUAGCAAAGUUUGAAUUUUGGCGGAUUCCGGUUGAUAGGUAAGAUUUUGAUCCGAGGGUCGGAAUGGAAUUCCGAGAUUUGCAGUGGCUUCGUUAGGUGAUUUUGGAUAUGUCUACAAAUUUUCAGGUCAUUCGGACGUCGUUUGGUCAUGUUUUGAUCGAAUAUGAGUUUCGGAAGUUUUAAGAAAAUUUAGGCUUGAAUCCGUGGUAAUUUGAUGAUUUUUGUGUUGUUGUGUGUGUUUUCGCGAUUGGAACAAGUUUGUAUGGUGUUUUAGAGUAGAUUGGUAUUUUUGGUUGAGGUCCCAGGGGCCUCGGGAUGGAUUCGGGUGUUCAAACGGACUGAUUUUCAUGUUUGAAGAUAGUAGAUUUUCAGAAAAGAUUGCAGAAGAAAUUCCUUCUACGCGUUCGCGUGAGGAAGGAUGCGAACACGUUGAGUUAGCUGGAGUGGGACUGGAAUUUGGCUAUCGCGUUCGCGUAGGGUUUGUUCGCUUUCGCGAUUAAGAGGAGGAUUGAGCAUCACGAACGCGUGGGGCCAGACACGUCCGUGUUGUAGAAUUAGCUGGAGCAUCACGAUCACGGGCUAGUGGCGCGUUCGUGUAAAGGAAAAUUUCGGUCAUUAAGAAAUUGUGCUUCGCGUUCGCGUGCCUAGGGCCGCGAUCGCAUAGAGUAGAAAUUUGGGCAUCAUAAUUCAUUUAAGGGUUAUUUCAUCAGUGACCUAUGCCAUUUUUCCACUAUUUUUGCACCACCUUGGGAGCUUUUUGAUAGAAUUUGAAAUGAAUUUCGACGGGAAGUGAUUGGAGGUAAGUCUCGUGGUCCAGAAACGUCAUUUAAUCGAAGAACUUUCCAUUAAUUCUCUGAGAUGGGUAUAAAAUUGAAGAAGUUAGGGCAUGAUUUUUGCUAUGUAAACUUGGGAUUUGGUGGCCCAUUUGAACUCCGGUUUUGAUAAAUUUGAUAUGUGCGGACUCGUAGCGAGACCAGAAUUCCGAAAAUGUAAGUUUUGUAAUUUUUUGAGAAGCGGGCCCGGGGCUUGAGUUUUGCUAGUUUCGAGGUUCUUGCUAUAAUUUGAUUAUUUUCGAUUGGGUAUUGUCCCAUUUGCAUAUUGUGAUGUAUUCGCUCUUUUUUUGGCUAGAUUCGAUGCACGUGGAGGCCGAUUUAAUGGGCAAAGGCGUCGCGAGCUUGAGAUUUCGCCAGUUCAAGGUGAGUAAUACUUAGGAAUGAUAUCAUGAGGGUUCGAAACCCCGGAUUUGCACAUCUUAGUGAUGUAUUGUUGUGUCCUGUACGCUAGACCUGAGCGUGGGGUAGAGCACCGUUGGGAUCGUGACUUUGUUCAUCCCUGUUGUUGGUUUUUACCGUGUAUCUGCAAUUGUGUUGUUAUCAUUAUGACUUGGGCUCAUUACCAUACUUGGGUUUAUUGCCGAUUGUUUGAACUCUUUGUGAGCUAUCAUCAUUGUUUUCCUCGCUAUUCGAAAUAUUAUUUGAACUCGGUCAGUGUGAUUUACACUGUUUUAUGAACUCAACUAUAUUUUACUAAAACUUGGAGUUUUAACUGAUAUUUGAACUAUCAUUUGAGAUGAGUAUUAUUGUUUUACUAAUGCCCGAUGGGCUUUUUGACUAUUUUUGGACUGAUUAAGGCCGAGGUCCAUAUGUGAGGGCAUGAGGAGUGAUGUGAGGAGGCUUUCAGGCCUCGAGUGAUAUGUGAGGAGGCUUUCAGGCCUCAAGCAUUAUGUGUGCAUAUGCAUAUACAUGCAUGGAUCGGGUUGCACGACGCAGCGAUGUGAUAUUGAUAUUGCGCUUAUGCUGUAGGAGCCCCUCCGGAGUCUGAAAUCCCACAGUGAGCGCGGGUACCCAAAUGGAUCAGGUUGCACGCCGCAGCGGUUAUAUGCAUUGCAUUCAUGCAUUUACUCCUGUUUGUACUACGUGGCAUGACAUUUAGCACUCAUAUAUCAUCGACACACAUAAUGUUACUUAUCUUGUUGACCAGAUACCCUGGUAUUAUAUGUUAAGGAGUGUUGUGCCUAGGGGGCCGAUUUAUGAGCCGAUUUUCUCUAUCUGAUGUAGCAUUUAUAUGCUGGGCCGUUGAAAAAGAAAAAGAAUUUUGUACAGGAGAUUUUUAAUUGAUCUUGAGAUUUUUUAAAGGAUUUUCACAGUAUUCCGGUUUUUCUCAAAGGGUUGUACCAUCUUUUUAUAGCAUUGUGGUGUGCCUAUACGUGUUUUCUUAUCGCUCAGUUAUUAUUCUCUCUUAUUACCACUGAGUUGGAAGUACUCANNNNNNNNNNNNNNNNNNNNNNNNNNNNNNNNNNNNNNNNNNNNNNNNNNNNUUACCACUGAGUUGGAAGUACUCACUUUACUCCCUGCACCUUGCGUGCAGUUGCAGGUAUUGUUCACCCGGUAGCGGGUUAUUAGCAGGACCGAAGGCCAAAUUUUGGUAGUUGAGCAAGGUGACCACCAGCGUUCGCGGUACCGCAUUCCGACUUUGAGUUCCAAUUUUACCUUGUAUAUAUAUUUUGUUGGCCCAAUUGUAGUGUCCCUACUCAUUAGAUGCUCGUGACUUGUGACACCCCGAUCGGGUUGUAUUGGAAUGAAAUUUCACAAUUAAAUGUCAUUAAGUAGUAUUUCUAUUAAUUUAUGUUUAAUAGUUGCUUAAAGAGGAUUUGGGGUUGUUGGCUGGCCUUGUCUUCACGAGAGGCGCCAUCAUGACGGGGUAUGGAAUUUGGGCCGUGACAAGUUGGUAUCAGAGCCUACGUUACUAGGUCUCACGAGUCAUGAGCAGGGUUAAUAGAGUCUCGCGGAUCGGUAUGGAGACGUCUGUAUUUAUCAUCGAGAGGCUGCAGAAAUUAGGAAAACUUUCCAUUCUUGGAAUUCUUAUCGUGCGUACUUGAUUCAGUUUGAGAUAACUCUUGAAAAUUCAUUCCACACGUCUAUAUACGCACGGAGCGCUCAGUAGUAUAUGUGCCUUGAUGGCUUGUGAUUCCUCGAUAGAGGGGCGAGAGGUAAUCUCCGUGUGUUCAUGUUGGGCCAGUCUAGAGGACUUGAGGCCUGAUAUUUUCCUAUGGCUUGAACACAAAAGUGCUGAUUGCGUGAGCAAGUAUUUUGAACUUAUAUGUUCAGUGCUGUUCUUAUUAGCCAAAAUUGGUAGCUGGAUAUCCAUGUGAUGAGUAUCUUAGUACUACGAGGUGUAUCUAUACAAUUUUGGUAGUGACGAAGAAGUCUGAUGGAUAAUAGAUGAGUUGUUAAGUGUUUAUUUCCUAUUACGGUCUGUUGUGUAGCCGAGGCAUAGACGCGUGAAGAAUAUUUUCGUAUCCCCUAGCUGGAAGUGAGGUACAAUACAUGUGGCGGUAUGAGUUCAGACUCAGAAAGACUAAAUGGUUGUGUAUUAUGUAUAUGAUGGUGGAAGGUAUAUGGAAAUAUUGAAAUGAGGCGAAGCAGGUGGGUUAUCUCCUGCGGAGGGUUUUGAGCGGUAUGACCCUUAUGUGUAUGUAAAAUAUCUCAUGUGUAAUUGAAGGGUAUGUGUAUUAUUUUGAAGAAUUGGGAGGCUUAAGAAGUGGACUCAGCUGAUGUGGAAAUGAAUGCGAGGUUUGCAGAGAUUGUCAGUGCUAGAUGAUCUGUGUAUUCACAAAACUUGUAAAUGAUUUGAGUUUGAUCUCAUUGUGGCAUCAUUAGAGUAAAAGUGUUAUGAGUAUUUAAGAGUGCCUUAAUAUAUGGCUUCGAGCCAAGUUGGGAUGGUUGUUGUUGGUCAGCUGAUUGCAUGGUUAUGUGCUAUGUUGGUUCCAUUUUGAGGUAUAAUGGCGGAUCAGUUCUUGUUACACAAAUUGAGCCGAGGAUGGCACGUGUGAAGGAAAAUUUCUACAAAGGUUAUAUGGUGCUUUCGUAAAUGUGAGAAAAUACUAGGAAUUUUUGAGUUGUUGUUGAUAAAGAAUGCUCAAUGUAUAGAGAAGAAAGAUGGUUGUUGUAUCUGUAUGAAAUCAUAUUCUGUGGUGUCUGAGUACUAAUAAGGCAUGAGUGGUUCCGUUCAUUUAGGACAGUUGAAUUACAGUUGAAUAAGAAUGAAUGACUCUCGAGAAUGGUUUUACUAUGUUCAAGAUUUUGCAUAUAACAAUCAGGUGUCUUCCGUUCAUUUAGCUGGUGAAUUACCGCGGAAUAAGAGUGAAUGACUCUCGAGAAUGGUUUUACUGUGUUCAAGAUUUUGCAUGUAACAAUCAGGUGUCUUCAGUUUGUGUAUAUGGGUAGAGACUGUGUUUUCAUUAGAAAAGAUCAAGACUUGUGGUAUUUUAUGUUAAUAAUGGGAUUCUAUGUAUUCGUAUUUGGGAGGUAAUGGUAAUGAAUUCAGAUUCACAGGAAGUUAUUCAUGGUAAAGCAUUCUGGAAUAUUGUAUUCCUGGGAAGCGUUCAAAAGGUUAUUCAGUGGCCUAUGGGUCUUAGAUAGUGUGGUCUUAUGUACGAGUCUCAUGUGGUAACCUGAGUUGAGGUAUUGUGGUGCUACAGCAAGGGAGAAUAUCAAAUUAGUGAUGAAUCAGGAAGGAAAUUAGAUAAAUGGAAUAACUUGAUAAUAAACCUAAUCGGUAUGGUAAGAGUAUGAUUAAUUAGUGUAUGUGUUUGAGGCAAUGAGCCUUACAGGAAUUGUGUAGCAAAGCUCUUGCGUGCUGGCAGUUGCUUAGCUUGGUUUGGGUAGAAGGAUUCAGUCUUGGCAGUUUAGCUUGUGCAAUGGAAUUGGGAGAAAGAGUUCUUGAUGUGUCUUACCGUGAUUUGAAGAUGGGUAUGUNNNNNNNNNNNNNNNNNNNNNNNNGGCAGUUUAGCUUGUGCAAUGGAAUUGGGAGAAAGAGUUCUUGAUGUGUUUUACCGUGGUUUGAAGAUGGGUAUGUUUCCUAUGGGUAUGCAAAGCAUGGAGUGUGUAAUAAUUUUCUUCCUAUAUCGGAUCAUGAAAGUUCUUGACUAGUUGAGUGCGUCGAUGUCUGCGGAACAUGAGAGAGAUAGAAGUCCUCAUGUUAUCCUAGUGUGGUAUGGUCUAUGUCUUAUGAUAUGGAGAACUGAGAUUUUUGUGUUCAAGGAUUUGGUUCAGUUCAUAAUGGGAAUUCAUUAAAUUCUUGAGCAGCACGGACAACUAUAGGUGAGUAAAGAAUCGAUCUUCAGAUGAUUAAGGUGAUGUAAAUUGAUGAUACGUCAGUAGUAUUGCGACAUUUUCUUGUUGGAUCGACUGCAGAUAUUUAUGUUUGUUGAUGGAGCAGGAAAUUUUGAAUAUCUUUCAUGGUAUGAAUGGAUACUUGAUGUGUGUUAUGUAUUUGUACGGCGGAGUGUGGGAUCAGGCAUAGUGAUUCAUGUGUUAUAUGUGUUGGAUACUAGAAGUUCUCGUCAUUUGAUCACGCAGUGGUUGUGGGUCGUGUGUAUCGACAUCAUCUAGCAGUUUUUGGAAAUUAGAGGUCCGAGUGGAUAUUUCUUUGCUUGGCAAGUUAAAUUUGGGUUAUGAUAUUAGAUUGCAUACUGGUUGUCCCAAUGUCAGGUUGUCUAGACUAAUAUGUUAUGGGGUAUGUCGGAAAAAGCCAUAGGUUGCAUGGUAAGGUGCAUCAAAUUAUUGUUCUAGCAGAGUAGUUUAUAUUCCAAAGACCAGCGGACGGUUGCCAAGUAUUGCUUUGUUAAUUGGGCCUUCGUGGUGGAUGUCAGUGCAGAGGUUUCUACCAUUGAUUCAGUUCCGGUAUUGAGGGACUUUUCGGAUGCGUUUCUUAUGGCGGGGCAUGAGGCUAUAUGUGUUUAUUGUAAUGAACACAUUUGGCUCGAUGUGCAUCUUCUUUUGUGAGAUAUAUAUAUAUAUAUAUAUAUGUGUGUGUGUGUGUGUGUGUGUGUGGCUCGAUGUGCAUCUCCUUUUGUGAGAUAUAUGUGCAUAUUGGGUGGCACGCCGCCACGGGUAUGGUAUCUGGAUCAGGUUGCACGCCGCCACGGGUAUGUUAUCUAGAGCGGGUUGCACGCCGCUGCAGUGUGAUGUUGAGAAUAGUUUUCUAUAUGCUACUUUGUAUGCCGUACUUCUUGGUUUCUGAGGAAAGUCCGUACUGGGUGUUUCUUGGCGAAUAGCGCAUCGGUUGUGUCCUUUCAGGAUUGAAUAGUGUAUAAUACUUACUUCACCGUUGGUGUGGCUUGGUUUCAGACCUCAAUCUGUGCGUGGCUGUCUGUCUUGAGCAUGGUGACUUGAGGUGCUUCAUGGGUAGUAGUGUUUGGAUAGAAUCGCGCGUUGUGGCAAGGGCACGUGAUGUUAUGACCUUUCGAGGAGGAUUCAGGUACUCUAUUUCUAUGAUGUAAGAUGGGAUUUCAGUUCUGUGUUGUGAUUGUAUGGAGGAAUUUGAAUUAAAGCUCUUUCGUUUGACUCAGUUGUCAUGAUUUGAGUGUGUUCGGAUUGUUUCUUAUUGGUGCCUGUGUUGAGCACGUUGUGGCUUAGGCCAGUGUUGAGGUGUCAUAUCACUAGAGUGGCGUGUUGUAGUUGAGAUGAUCGUGAGAGUCAUUAAUGAGUACGAGCAUAUUUGAUUUCAACUUGUUUGAAAGGUAAUAUCGAGGUUUGGCUCCGAAAUCUGUGAUACUAUUAGUCAGAAAGGAAAUGGACUCAUGAAUGGGUGAUCUGAGAGAUGGGUUCGGUUUAUUGCGUGUUUCAGUUACCGUUGGCAGAAUAUGAAAGUGUUGGAAUAAGACUUCAGCUAACAAAAAGGUUUUCUAUUGGUGUCCGGCUAUCGUUGGCAAUUGCUGUGAAUGGAGCUUAUUGCUGCAUGUGAAAAAGCUUUUUCUAUCAGUAUUUGGUUAUUGUGGGCAAUUUCUGGGAAUAGAUGCCAUCGUCUCGAGUGUUUGGGUUGUGUAGUAUACCAUAUAAUUUCACCUGGAGUGGCGCGUAUGGGUUAUUACUGUUGGUUCAGGUUUAUUCUGAGUAUAGACGUGGGUUCUGAUCUGGUGCAUGAUUUCGGGAAGUGCAAUGUGGUUUAUGAUUUUGAUGGACUGUGAAAUUCCGGCCAUGUUGUGUUAUCGGACCUAUGUGAGAUAUGGUGACGUGGGAUCACCCUGAGUAUACGCUUGGUAAGGUCAUUCAACUAAUGGGUUGCUUCUAGUACAACUCUGGGUACUCUCGAGGAUGAGCGUUUGUUUAAGUUGGGGAGGAUGUGACGACCCGACCCGUCGUCUAAUGUGUUACUACUUCGUUCCCCCCUUAUUGUGUUGCUUCAUGUUUCAAUAUCAGUAUUAGAGUCGAUCGGGUGUAAUUGAAUUAGUAUUGGUUGAAAAUAAGGCACAUGGCCUCUUAGAAGGAAGAUUGUUUUGGAAAAGUCAACUGGAAGUUGACUAGAGAGUUACAAGGCUCGGAUGUGAUUUCCGAUGAUUCAGUUAGCUUUGGGAGAUGAUUUGUGACUUAGGAGAGCGAUCAAAAUUGAAUUUGGAAGUCCGGUGUAGAAUUAGUCUUGGAUUGGCGAAGUUUGAAUUUUGGCGGAUUCUCGUUGAUAGGUGAGAUUUUGAUUUGAGGGCCGGAAUGAAAUUCUGAGAGUUGCAGUCGCUUCGUUAGGUGACUUUGGAUAUGCAUGCAAAUUUUUAGGUCAUUCGGACGUCAUUUGGUAGGGUUUUUGAUCGAAUAUGAGUUCCGUAUGUUUUAAGAAAAUUUAGGCUUGAAUCCAUGGUAAUUUGAUGAUUUUUGUGUUGUUGUGUGUGUUUUCGUGAUUAGAACAAGUUCGUAUGGUGUUUUAGAGUAGGUUGGUGUUUUUGGUUGAGGUACCGGGCGCCUCAGGAUGGAUUCGGGUGGUCAAACAGACUAAUUUCCAUGUUUGAAGAUAGCAGAUUUUCAGAAAAGAUUGUAGAAGAAAUUCCUUUUAUGCGUUCGCGCGAGGAAGGAUGCGAACGCGUAUAGUUAAUUGGAGAAGGCCUGGAAUUUGGCUAUCGCGUUCAUGUAGGGUUUGUUUGCGUUCGCGAUUAAGAGGAGGAUUGAGCAUCGCAAACGCAUUCGCGUAGUAGAAUUAGCUGGAGCAUCGCGAUCGUGGGCUAGUGGCGCGUUCGCGUAAAGGAAAAUGUUGUUCAUUAAGGAAAUGUUCUUCGCGAUAACGUGCCUAGGGCCGCGAUCACAUAGAGUAAAAAUCUGGGCAUCAGAAGGGUUAUUUCAUCCGCGACCUAUGCCAUUUUUCCACCAUGUUUGCACUACCUUGGGAGCUUGUUGAUAAGAAUUUGAAAGGGAUUUCUAGGGGAAGUGAUUGGAGGUAAGUCUCGUGGUCUAGAAACGUCAUUUAAUCGAAGAAUCAUCCAUUAAUUCUCUCAAUUGGGUAUAAAAUUGAAGAAGUUAGGGCUUGGUUUUUCUAUGUAAAUUUGGGAUUUGGUGGCCCAUUUGAACUCCGACUUUAAAUAAUUUUAUAUGUACGAACUCAUGGAGAGAUGAGGAUUCCGAAAAUGUAAGUUUCGUAAUUUUUUGAGCAGCGAGCCCCGGGCUCGGGUUUUGCUAGUUUCGAGGUUCUUGCUAUAAUUUGAUUGUUUUCGAUUGGAUAUUGUCCCAUUUGCAUAUUGUGAUGUAUUCGCUCUGUUUUUGGCUAGAUUCGAUGUGCGUGGAUGCCGUUUUGAGGGGCAACGGCGUCGCAAGCUUGAGAUUUCGCUGGUUCGAGGUGAGUAAUACUUGGGAAUGAUAUCCUGAGGGUUUGAAACCUCGAAUUUGCACAUCUUAGUGCUGCAUUGUGGUGACCUGUACGCUGGACCUGAGCGUGGGGUAGAGCAGCGUUGCGGAUCGUGACUUGGUCCGUCUCGAUUGUUGGUUUUUAUCGCGUAUCUGCAAUUAUGUUGUUGUUAUCAUUAUGGCUUAGGCUCAUUACUAUACUUGGGGCUUAUUGCCGAUUGUUUGAACUCUUUGUGAGCUAUCAUCACUGUUUUCCUCACUUGGGCUCAUUACCAUACUUGGGGCUUAUUGCCGAUUGUUUGAACUCUUUGUGAGAUAUUACCACUGUUUUCCUCACUAUUUGAAAUAUUAUUUGAACUCAGUCCGUGUGAUUUAUACUAUUUUAUGAAUUCAACUAUAUUUUACUCAAACUUGGAGUUUUAACUGAUAUUUGAACUAUCAUUUGAGCUGAGUAUUAUUAUGAGGAGGCUUUCAGGCCUCGAGCGUUAUGUGUGCAUAUGCAUAUACAUGCAUGGAUCAGGAUGCACGCCGUAGCGGUGUGAUAUUGAUAUUGCGCUUAGGCUGUAGGAGCCCCUCCGGAGUCUGAACCCCCACAGUGAGUGCGAGUACCCAAAUGGAUCGGUUUGCGCGUAGCAUCAGUCAUAUGCAUUGCAUUCAUGCAUUUACUCCUGUUUGUACUACGUUGCAUGACGUCUAGCACUCGUAUAUCAUCGGAACACAUACUGUUACUUGCCUUGUUGACCAGAUACCCUGGUAUUAUAUGUUAAGGUGUGUUGUGCCCAAGGGGCCGAUUUAUGAUCCGAUCUCCUCUAUCUGAUAUAGCAUUUAUAUGCUGGGCUUUUGAAAAAGAAAAAUAAUUUUGUAAAAGAGAUUUUUAACUGAUCUUGAGAUUUUCUAAAGGAUUUUCACAGUAUUACAGUUUUCUCAAAGGGUUGUACCAUCUUUUAUAGCAUUGUGGUGUGCCCAUACGUGUUUUCUUAUCGCUCAGUUAUUAUUCUCUCUUAUUAAUAGUGAGUUGGAAGUACUCACUUUACUCCGUGCACCUUGCGUGCAGUUGCAGGUAUUGUUCACCCGGUAGCGGGUUAU
rnacentral:lncRNA from 1 species